UACGAAGGGGACUAGCGUUGUUCGGAAUCACUGGGCGUAAAGCGCACGUAGGCGGAUUCGUAAGUCAGGGGUGAAAUCCCGGGGCUCAACCUCGGAACUGCCUUUGAUACUGCGGGUCUUGAGUCCGAUAGAGGUGGGUGGAAUUCCUAGUGUAGAGGUGAAAUUCGUAGAUAUUAGGAAGAACACCGGUGGCGAAGGCGGCCCGCUGGAUCGGUACUGACGCUGAGGUGCGAAAGCGUGGGGAGCAAACAGG
rnacentral:rRNA from 1 species